GUGAGGAAUUUUCCGCAAUGGGCGAAAGCCUGACGGAGCAAUGCCGCGUGAAGGAUGAAGGCCUAUGGUUUGUAAACUUCUUUUCUCAGAAAAGAAUUAUGACGGUAUCUGAGGAAUAAGCAUCGGCUAACUCUGUGCCAGCAGCCGCGGUAAGACAGAGGAUGCAAGCGUUAUCCGGAAUGAUUGGGCGUAAAGCGUCUGUAGGUUGUUUAAAAAGUAUUCUGUCAAAGAUUAGGGCUUAACCCUAGAUAGGCAGAAUAAACUUUUAAGCUAGAGUUUGGUAGAGGCAGAGGGAAUUCCCGGUGGAGCGGUGAAAUGCGUAGAUAUCGGGAGGAACACCAAAGGCGAAGGCACUCUGCUGGGCCAAUACUAACACUGAGAGACGAAAGCGAGGGGAGCAAAUGGGAUUAGAUACCCCUGUAGUCC
rnacentral:rRNA from 1 species